rnacentral:pre_miRNA from 1 species
UGGACAGAUUACUGUAUUCGACUGUAUUCACGGUGUGAAACAGGGGAUUACACUAUUUUAAAACGGAAAGUUUAUCAAUUAACAUAAUAGACUACU